rnacentral:rRNA from 1 species
GACGAACGCUGGCGGCGUGCUUAACACAUGCAAGUCGAACGGAAAGGCCCUGCUUUUGUGGGGUGCUCGAGUGGCGAACGGGUGAGUAACACGUGAGUAACCUGCCCUUGACUUUGGGAUAACUUCAGUAAACUGGGGCUAAUACCGGAUAUGAGCUCCUGCUGCAUGGUGGGUGUUGGAAAGUUUCGGCGGUUGGGGAUGGACUCGCGGCUUAUCAGCUUGUUGGUGGGGUAGUGGCUUACCAAGGCUUUGACGGGUAGCCGGCCUGAGAGGGUGACCGGCCACAUUGGGACUGAGAUACGGCCCAGACUCAUACGGGAGGCAGCAGUGGGGAAUAUUGCACAAUGGGCGGAAGCCUGAUGCAGCAACGCCGCGUGCGGGAUGACGGCCGUCGGGGUGUAAACCGCUUUCGCCUGUGACGAAGCGUGAGUGACGGUAAUGGGUAAAGAAGCACCGGCUAACUACGUG